AACGCGAAGAACCUUACCUACCCUUGACAUGCUCGGAAUCUGCUAGAGAUAGUGGAGUGCCUUCGGGAGCCGAGACACAGGUGCUGCAUGGCUGUCGUCAGCUCGUGUCGUGAGAUGUUGGGUUAAGUCCCGUAACGAGCGCAACCCCUAUUCUUAGUUGCCAACAGGUGAAGCUGGGAACUCUAAGGAGACUGCCGGUGACAAGCCGGAGGAAGGUGGGGAUGACGUCAAGUCCUCAUGGCCCUUACGGGUAGGGCAACACACGUGUUACAAUGGUCAGUACAGAGGGAAGCGAAGUCGCGAGAUGGAGCGAAUCCUGAUAAAGCUGAUCGUAGUCCGGAUUGGAGUCUGCAACUCGACUCCAUGAAGUUGGAAUCGCUAGUAAUCGCGGAUCAGAACGCCGCGGUGAAUACGUUCCCGGGCCUUGUACACACCGAGACGUA
rnacentral:rRNA from 1 species